GCGCGAAAACUUUACAAUGCUGGCAACAGCGAUAAGGGAACCUCGAGUGCCAGGUUACAAAUCUGGCUGUCGUGAUGCCUAAAAAGCAUUGCAUAGCAAGGGCCGGGCAAGACCGGUGCCAGCCGCCGCGGUAACACCGGCGGCUCGAGUGGUUACCGUUAUUAUUGGGUCUAAAGGGUCUGUAGCCGGCCGGAUAAGUCUCUUGGGAAAUCUGGCAGCUUAACUGUCAGGCUUUCAGGAGAUACUGUCUGGCUCGAGGCCGGGAGAGGUGAGAGGUACUUCAGGGGUAGGGGUGAAAUCUUGUAAUCCUUGAAGGACCACCAGUGGCGAAGGCGUCUCACCAGAACGGACCUGACGGCAAGGGACGAAAGCUAGGGGCACGAACC
rnacentral:rRNA from 1 species